rnacentral:lncRNA from 1 species
AAAUUUAGAGUUUAUAUAUAGGAAACGUUUCAUGUGCGUCGUACCUUAAAUACGUCGUCAUGCGUUAUAAAAUCAUUUUCAUUAAUAUUUAAUCCAAUGACUAAUUAAAAUAAUAUACUGCAUAAGACACUAACACAUGUACGACACAAAAUAAUAUACUGCAAAAGACACUAACACAUGUACGACGCAAAGUCAAUCUACUGCAAAAGACACUAACACAUGUACGACGCAAAGUCAAUCUAAUGGACAUAAUUAAUUUGCACAUUUUGACCUCAGCACACCUGAUAAUUACUCUCUCUAUAUAUAUAGUUUUAUUUUAAAAUUUGGAGCAAAAGAUGAUUC